AAGCCAUGAUGGGGGCACUUGGGUAGGAGAUCCUUCAAUCUCUCAUGUGCUUCCAAAAGUGUCUCGGUGUCCCCUUGCCGGAAUGCAGAAAUCUCUUGCCUCAAUCU